rnacentral:rRNA from 1 species
UGGGGAAUUUUGGACAAUGGGCGAAAGCCUGAUCCAGCAAUGCCGCGUGUGUGAAGAAGGCCUUCGGGUUGUAAAGCACUUUUGUCCGGAAAGAAAUCCUUGGCUCUAAUACAGUCGGGGGAUGACGGUACCGGAAGAAUAAGCACCGGCUAACUACGUGCCAGCAGCCGCGGUAAUACGUAGGGUGCAAGCGUUAAUCGGAAUUACUGGGCGUAAAGCGUGCGCAGGCGGUUUGCUAAGACCGAUGUGAAAUCCCCGGGCUCAACCUGGGAACUGCAUUGGUGACUGGGCAGGCUAGAGUAUGGCAGGAGGGGGGUAGAAUUCCACGUGUGAGCAGUGAAAUGCGUAGAGAUGUGGAGGAAUACCGAUGGCGAAGGCAGCCCCCUGGGCCAAUACUGACGCUCAUGCACGAAAGCGUGGGGAGCAAACAGGAUU